GACGUAGGGCGCGAGCGUUGUCCGGAUUUAUUGGGCGUAAAGGGUGCGUAGGCGGCGCGGUAAGUCGGGUGUGAAAUCUUGGAGCUUAACUCCGAAACUGCAUUCGAUACUGCCGUGCUUGAGGACUGGAGAGGAGACUGGAAUUUACGGUGUAGCGGUGAAAUGCGUAGAUAUCGUAAGGAAGACCAGUGGCGAAGGCGGGUCUCUGGACAGUUCCUGACGCUGAGGCACGAAGGCCAGGGGAGCAAACGGG
rnacentral:rRNA from 1 species